GGCCGCGGUAAUACGAAGGGGGCUAGCGUUGCUCGGAAUCACUGGGCGUAAAGCGCACGUAGGCGGCAUCUUAAGUCGGUGGUGAAAUCCUGGAGCUCAACUCCAGAACUGCCUCCGAUACUGAGGUGCUUGAGUCCGGGAGAGGUGAGUGGAACUGCGAGUGUAGAGGUGAAAUUCGUAGAUAUUCGCAAGAACACCAGUGGCGAAGGCGGCUCACUGGCCCGGUACUGACGCUGAGGUGCGAAAGCGUGGGGAGCAAACA
rnacentral:rRNA from 1 species